rnacentral:misc_RNA from 1 species
AAGUCGUAACAAGGUUUCCGUAGGUGAACCUGCGGAAGGAUCAUUACAUUCAGUAGCUUGCUACUGUUAGGGGGGUCCAUUAGUCUGUAUAGUAUCACUACUGAUGAGCAGCACGACUCCCUGUCUAUACCCUUGUCUUUUGCGCACUCAUGUUUCCUCGGCGGCUUGAUACCCGCCGGCUGGAUCAAUCUAUAACCUUUUUAAUUUUCAAUCAGCGUCUGAAAAACCUAAUAAUUACAACUUUCAACAACGGAUCUCUUGGUUCUG